rnacentral:lncRNA from 1 species
AUGGUUAAGGAAAGCAUGUCAUUAAGUCCAUCCUCACCCCCUCCUCGACAGAUAGCCCUGGAGGGACGUGGAGGUGAGCCAGAACUGGAGGGCCUCCGCUUCAGUGGGAUGACCGAGACUCAACAGCAUGAGAAUUUGCCAGCAGUGAGGGCCAUCAAAGGAAGAUCAUCACUCCCCAAAGAGACAUUUCUCCAGAUGGUAUAUGUUGAUGAACAGGGGAGAGCAAGGUGGAAGAUGGGACAAAAAGAGACUGUCCACUUGCAAGAGACUGCUUUCUUUUCUUUCUUUCUUUUUUUUUUUUUUUUUUUUUUUUUUUUUGUCUUUUUGCUUUUUCUAGGGCCACUCCUGCAGCAUAUGGAGAUUCCCAGGCUAGGGGUCGAAUUGGAGCUGUAACCACUGGCCAGAGCCAGAGCCACAGUAACCUGAGAUCCGAGCCACUUCUGCAACCUACACCACAGCUCACAGCAACGCCAGAUCCUUAACCCACUGAGCAAGGCCAGGAAUCGAACCCGCAACCUCAUGGUUCCUAGUCGGAUUCAUUAACCACUGAUCCACAAUGGGAACUCCUGCUUUCUACUCCCAUGGAACUUCUGGCCUCUUGUGUAAUGAAGAUGCGCCUGAAACCCCUUGGUCUUGGGGAACUUGGAAGUGGACACAAUCCUAAAAAGCUUUUUUUUUUAUUAUUGAAAAGAAUCCAGUAGAUUUUUACUACUGGACACAGAGGCCAGAAAAAUCCAGUGAAAGCAGAACUGUCCUAAACAAAAUAAUAUUUUAUGUUAGAUUAAUUCAAAACUGAAAUUAAUUUUUUGGGGUCUUAAAUAUUUUUUCCCACAUCUGUAGUUGUUUAAUGGUCAUAACAAUCCACUUUCACAGGAUUUCCAUCCCAUAACCCGAGCACAUCCCCCCACCCCCCAAACUGUCUCCUCCGGAGACUGGAGACCGUAACUUUUUCAAUGUCUGUGAGUCAGCAUCUGUUCUGCAAAGAAGUUCAGUCUGUCCUUUUUUCAGAUUCCACAUGUCAGUGAAAGCAUUUGAUGUUGGUGUCUCAUUGUAUGGCUGACUUCACUUAGCAUGAUAAUUUCUAGGUCCAUAUGGUGGUCCAUGUUGCUAAAAAUGCUGGUUAUUUCGUUCAUUUUAAUGAAAUUAAUUUUUAAAAAAUUCUUCAUUCUGGUAGAAUCAGAAGGCACAUCUGGCAUCACAAAAAGAGUUUGAAUAUUUACAAUUAAUAAACAACACCCGCCUCUCUCA